rnacentral:misc_RNA from 1 species
GAUGAAGAAGCAGCGAAAUGCGAUAAGUAAUGUGAAUUGCAGAAUUCAGUGAAUCAUCGAAUCUUUGAACGCACAUUGCGCCCGCCAGUAUUCUGGCGGGCAUGCCUGUCCGAGCGUCAUUUCAACCCUCGGGACCCUUCGGGGAACCGGUGUUGGGGACCCGUCCGCCGACCCACGGCGGCCGGCCCCGAAAUACAGUGGCGGCCCUGCGGCGACCUCCUCUGCGUAGUAGCGAUACCUCGCAGCUGGAAAGCGGCAGCGGCCACGCCGUAAAACCCCCACUUCUAUGGUUGACCUCGGAUCAGGUAGGAAUACCCGCUGAACUUAAGCAUAUCAAAAGCGGAGGA